rnacentral:rRNA from 1 species
CCUACGGGAGGCAGCAGUGGGGAAUAUUGCGCAAUGGGCGAAAGCCUGACGCAGCAACGCCGCGUGAGUGAGGAAGGCCCUCGGGUUGUAAAGCUCUGUCAGAUGGGAAGAACAUCACUUGGUCCAAUAGGCCUUGUGACUGACGGUACCAUCAAAGGAAGCACCGGCUAACUUCGUGCCAGCAGCCGCGGUAAUACGAAGGGUGCAAGCGUUGUUCGGAUUUACUGGGCGUAAAGCGCGCGCAGGCGGAUUGUUUAGCCAGAUGUGAAAUCUCGGGGCCCAACCCCGAAACUGCGUCUGGAACUGAUAAUCUAGAAUCUUGGAGAGGGAAAUGGAAUUUCGCAUGUAGGGGUAAAAUCCGUAGAGAUGCGAAGGAACACCAGAGGCGAAGGCGGUUUCCUGGCCAAGUAUUGACGCUGAGGCGCGAAAGCGUGGGGAGCAAACAGGAUUAGAUACCCUGGUAGUCCACGCCGUAAACGAUGAGCACUAGAUAUAGGGUUGUUGACCGACUCUGUGUCAAAGCUAACGCAUUAAGUGCUCCGCCUGGGGAGUACGGUCGCAAGACUAAAACUCAAAGGAAUUGACGG